rnacentral:lncRNA from 1 species
GGGAGCAGCCGGGAGGGAACUAAACCACUCCCCACCCCCGUGAGCCGCCUGUUGCCAUCAGCAGCCAGCUGUGGAAGCGCUCUCUUGCUGCUGAGACUCUGUUCUCCACCUUGUAAACCAAGCCCAACUCGGCCUCCUGAAGGGGGAAAGAACAUGAAGAUACUGAUUGUUCUGAAUCUCGCAUCAUCAGUUCACAAGACACCUGUGGUCUAUUGCCCAGCAAACCUCCAUCCCCGUUCUUCUCCAGAGAGCUCGUCACUCACAUCCACAGUGUUCUGAGAGAAGCCCUCUGCACAACCCAGCCCUACACCCUGGCCACAGUGUGCCCUGGUGGAGGGCAUCUGACUCAGCCAUAACAAAGACAACUGCUGUCUCAGCUGCUGCUGGCUACCAUCUCACCACCGUGAAAAACAGCAAGCCUGGGGACAAAAGCUGAGAUGAUGAGGAGGACAAAGCCAGGAGAAAGAGAAAAGGAGCCAGCACCCCCUCCACUGUCCCAUGGCCUUGCUGUAUGGGCUGGGUCUUUUCCUGUGUGAGAUAAGAUAGUAAAUUCCCCCAACUGUUUCAGUCACUUUGAGGGUCUCCCUUUUUUUCACAUGCAACCCAGACUCCUCAUCUUCAUCAUCAAACAUUUAGUUCAUAUCUCUUUUAUUAAGGUUUUUAAACUUUAAUUGAAAUGCUCAAUUUUAGAAUAUCUGACUCUUUUAAAAUUCUGUCUUUUUAAAAUAAUAUCCUACUCUUGCCUCAUGGAUUCUUUCAUUUCUGUCCUUGAAUAUUAAUGUGGGUUGUGAGCACAAUAAUAAUCUUUGGUUUGUUAUUGUUGUUGUUUUUGUUGUUUGUUUUCUGAGACAG